ACGCGCAGGCGCUGACAGGCAGUGACAGAGGCAGUGACAGAGGCAGUGACAGGCAGUGACAGGCAGUGACAGGCAGUGACAGAGGCAGUGACAGGCAGUGACAGGCAGUGACAGGCAGUGACAGAGGCAGUGACAGGCAGUGACAGGCUGUGACAGGCGGUGACAGGCGCAGGGACAGCCGCGGGCGGUGGUCGCAGCCCCCUUCCCGCCCCUGGCAGUACGCGCAGGCGCUGACAGGCGGUGACAGAGGCAGUGACAGGUGGUGACAGAGGCAGUGACAGGCAGUGACAGGCGCAGGGACAGCCACGGGCGGUGGUCGCAGCCCCCUCCCCACCCCCGGCAGUACGCGCAGGCGGUGACAGGCAGUGACAGGCAGUGACAGGCGGUGACAGGGACAGUGACAGGUGGUGACAGGCGGUGACAGGCACAGGGACAGCCACGGGCGGUGGUCACAGCCCCCUCCCCACCCCUGGCAGUACGC